GGGGGGGGGGGGGGGGGGGGGGGGGGGGGUGGGGUGGGGGGAGCGGGCGGGGGGCGGGCGUUUCUGGUGUUGGCGGGUGACGGGUGGGGAGGAGUUUGCUGGCCUGCCGAUAGGUCUGGGCUCGCUUCGGGCAGCCGGGGGUGAUGCCCGCUCUUAUGUUGAACCGCCUGUUUCACCCUUGCAAUGCAGUGUUGCUGUCCCUUAUCGCUUGCUCCGGGCUGCAUUCGCUAGUUGGUAAGGUAACGGCUUACCAAGGCAACGAUGCAUAGCCGACCUGAGAGGGUGAUCGGCCACACUGGAACUGAGACACGGUCCAGACUCCUACGGGAGGCAGCAGUAGGGAAGCUGCCGCAAUGGGCGAAAGCCUGACGGAGCAACGCCGCGUGAGUGAUGAAGGUCUUCGGAUCGUAAAACUCUGUUAUUAGGGAAGAACAUAUGUGUAAGUAACUGUGCACAUCUUGACGGUACCUAAUCAGAAAGACACGGCUAACUACGUG
rnacentral:rRNA from 1 species